rnacentral:rRNA from 1 species
GACGAACGCUGGCGGCGUGCUUAACACAUGCAAGUCGAACGAAGUGGCGAACGGGUGAGUAACGCGUAAUCCACCUGCCCUUCAGAGGGGGACAACAGUUGGAAACGACUGCUAAUACCGCAUACUGAAGGAGGGGUUUUCGUCUGAUUAGCUAGUUGAAGGGGUAACGGCCCACCAAGGCUCUGAUCAGUAUCCGGUCUGAGAGGAUGAACGGCCAGAUUGGGAAUAAGAGGCGGCCCAGACUCCUACGGGAGGCAGCCGUGGGGGAUCUGCCGCAAUGGACGAAAGUCUGACGAGGCAACGCCGCGGGAGUGAUGACGGCCUUCGGGUUGUAAAGCUCUGUUAAUCGGGACGCGGUACCGGAAUAGAAACCCACGGCUAACUACGUGCCAGCCGCCGCGGUAAUUC